CACGGCAAUCCGGCACGGCAAAAAAAAAUCGAUCCCCACUAAAUCCUAUGAAACUGUUUCCACUUCAACGGUGCCGUGCCGUAUUGUACAACACGGCGUAAUUUGCCGGAUUUGCAGAUCGAUCAGCAAGCCAUUUUCAGAGCACGGCACACGGUUUUUUCACUUCUGGCCAAUCACAGUCCAGAUAAAUUACGUCAUUGCCCACAUAUUUUCUGAUCAAGCGACAAAUCGCCUGCGGUGAUAGUCUAUGGGAGUUUACGUGUUAAAUGCAAAAUCGCACAUACACGUAGGUCUACGUGUAUUACCUGCUGAAGAGAGGUGACUGAAGGAGGACUUGAUCUUGCAAUUCUUGGUCUGAUAACCAACAUGGAGGAAGCCCUUAUCCUAGAAGUGUAGGAAAAUCCAUUCCUGUAUGACAAGAGAUUGGAGAUGUUCAAGGAUACAGAAGUAAAAAAAUGAUGUAUGACAUGACAUUGGGCGUCAGCUUGUAAUCUCAGGUGACGUAGCGAGUUGAGGGACAACUUCCUAAAAAACGACAGAAAUGGAGAGGAAGAGUGGUGACGGAGCUCCCUCAAAUGCAGCACGUAAAUACAAGUACAGUGAGGCAAUGGAAUUCCUACUUCCCCACAUACAUAAUCGAGAAACAAGUUCAAUCUUGGAUCCUGUGUUUGAUGUGGACACACCAGGAGAAGCCUGUACCAAGCAGGAAGAAACUGAGCAGGAGAAUGGUGGGUGACAUCUGUCCACAACGUGGGUCGAUCAGUCUUCCUCGUCAGCAUCCUCAGGCACGUCCGCAACAUCAGUCCAGUCUUCAAGUCCCAACUUCACUUCAAAUCGAGGACACAAUGUUGCAGUAAUUUCAAAGCACUGACAGUCAUGGUGACAACAUAACUGUAG